GUGACUUUCGAUGCUCGCACAAAGCAACGUACACUUCGACUGACCGAAGCCGAAAAUGCCUAAGUAGCAGUUGGUCUCCGGAGAAAUCAUCGUUCGCCACCACCGUGGAUAUAUUUUAUGGACGCGAGCAAGUGUUGCAGAUAAUAAUUCACGAGGAAGAAACGAAUCGAUCUGGGUGAAACGAAAGAUAUCGGACUGUAACACUUUGUCGGACAUGUAUAUAAAUCACUACAUCAAAUUACGGCGUUGCGAAUCAUUACAAAAUGAAAAUAUAAUGUAAAA
rnacentral:misc_RNA from 1 species